rnacentral:rRNA from 1 species
ACUUCUUUUAUGGAGAGUUUGAUCCUGGCUCAGGAUGAACGCUGGCGGCGUGCCUAAUACAUGCAAGUCGACCACACAGCAAUGUCGCUCGCUCCUUCGACGCUCUCUCCAGACUGGUCAGUAACACUUG